CGCAUCGACCACAACCCAAACAACGUAGGAAGGAACGCGAACUCACGGAGCCUCCGUGCACCGACCACGACAGCACCAGCACCGGUGCUGUUGGGGCCUGGGAUUUCUUUUCGUUCGGAUGGAAGAGGCAAUGUCGCUUCCCAGCAUAACUCCGCUCCACUAGCAGCUCGUCCAGGCACUAACCUGGCAGCAGGGACACAGCGAGGAGGUGUGUUGAACAACACACAAUGGAUCGUCUGAGCAGUAUGGGCUGACAGCUCUGUCCCCCCACAAAGGAAAGACUCCGGGAAUCGGCACAGGUGUUCCUGAGACCCGGCAUGUGAGGGGGAAGCUCGGGGAGGAACGACAGAACCGGAGUUCCACAGGCGGAGAUGGGGCAGCAUGUGCCUGCAGCAGCUUCUGCAACACAGAAAAGAAAGAGCCCCCAAAGCUACAUUCAGACAAAAUCCCCAACUUCGUAUACUAGGGAAGGGGUUAGGGAAGAAAAAAAAUAAGAAAAAUUCUACCCUUGCAGCUUUUUCAGUCCUGGGUGGUUUCAAACGCUAGCCUGCCCCAUUUUACUGAGAGAAAGAGGGAAACUACCCUGACCCCCUCAUAAAUUGCACUUUUCUUCCCGGUACCACCUACAACCUAUAAAAAGUACAUGAGAUUUUUUUUGCUGCUGGAUCUCCUUUACUUUUCUAGAUAAUUCCUGCUUCUUCCUGCCUUCUCUUUUUACUUAAACUGUAGCUUUUAUUUCUGUUUAGUCUUUAAUGAAGGGCUGUUUCUGGGUUCUACAAUCAUUUUAGACACUUCAGAAGUCAGGGGGUGCAUGUUCAUUUUUGUGAAUAGGUGGGUGAACUACAUUUUCGUUCACCAUAAAAACUACUAAGCUGUGCAACAAAGCCAUGCAAAGACUACACAGAUAAAAGAAACAGAAGAUUGGUUCUAAACUGUGUCACAGUGUGUGGCAUAAGUGGGACAAAUAGAAUGUUUCUCUGCUUCCCAUAGGGACUGCAGGUCUCUGUGGGAGGGAGAGAAAGUAAAUGAAUAAUAGCAUCAAAUUUAACUCAAGCUAGUUGUCAUUUCAGUGCCCAUUGAGACCAGCCUGAUUUGGAAAUACACUGUCGAUUGAGUAAAGACAUUUUAACAGUUUGCUCAUCUCCAGUCUAAGAACAAAAUACCUCCUUUUGACCAACUGCAUCAUUAAAUACACUUCUCAGUUUUCAUGAAAGCUAAAAAUUCUGUAAGAGGGUUUUGUUGUUUUUAAUGUAUCAUUGGUUUUUAUGUAUCAACAGUAAGUAAAAAAUUUCCAAAACAAAACAGCUAUGGAAGCAAUGUAACCAUGAGAAAACAUGCUUUAAAAAUAAAUUCAAGCCUUUUAUUCUCUUUGUUUUUGAAUUCCCCUUAGACUGUUCAGAAUAAUGAGUUCCUAUGGCUCCCUGCCAAAACCUUGAGAAAAAUCAAGGUUUACCCUCAUCAGGAAACUAUGAAACACAACCCAUGGCAUGCCAUUGUUUGUCACAAAAAAAUGUUCUUUUUUAUAUAAUAAUAAAAAUGGGGAUAGCUUUGAAAUAGUGAUUUUUAGUUUGUUUUUUUUUUUUUUAACAAUUGAUUUAAAUACUGCCUAUGUAAAAGCACAGGAAACUUGUCUGGUCAGCCAACACUUCUUAACAUUUAUAUUAAUUAUGAAGAAAUACAGUGUUAGUUUCUGAGCUCUGGUAUUUUCUGUCCCAUUAAUUUUUACCUUUUUCAGUGCACAGUCUGGCCAGUCAGAGCCCAUCCUACUGACCCCAGCAAGGGAGGAGGCCAAACUCAGGACAGCCCCAGCCCUGGGGCAUCAGCACCAGUGGGGACAGGGAGGGGUCUAGGCCAGGCUGGAACAUCAGUCCAUGUGUGGGGGCCAGGAUCAGGCCCCAUGAAGGGAACCAGCAUCAGGCAGAGUGCACCAUGCACCUCUGAUGUCUUCUGCCUGCUCAUUUGGUAUGAAAAAUAGGUAUCUUUAGAAUCUUUUUGUCUAAACUACUGUCAUAUCCCUGGUACUAUCCUGACUCACUGUCUGCACCUGUCUAUUAAGCUUGGUAUUUCAGGAUUACUGGCUUGGAACAACUUGUUCAAAGACUUCUCAGACUGAGUUAUAUGUCAUCUCUCUCAGGUACUGAAUGCCAGUUCUAUGAAAGGUGUUGAAGAUCUAUGAAGGGUGUUGAAUAAAUGGUCUGUGGCUUUA